GACGAACGCUGGCGGCGUGCUUAACACAUGCAAGUCGAACGGUAAGGCCCUUCGGGGUACACGAGUGGCGAACGGGUGAGUAACACGUGGGUGAUCUGCCCUGCACUUCGGGAUAAGCCUGGGAAACUGGGUCUAAUACCGGAUAGGACCACUGCCUGCAUGGGUGGUGGUGGAAAGCUUUUGCGGUGUGGGAUGGGCCCGCGGCCUAUCAGCUUGUUGGUGGGGUGAUGGCCUACCAAGGCGACGACGGGUAGCCGGCCUGAGAGGGUGACCGGCCACACUGGGACUGAGAGACGGCCCAGACUCCUACGGGAGGCAGCAGUGGGGAAUAUUGCACAAUGGGCGCAAGCCUGAUGCAGCGACGCCGCGUGAGGGGUGAUGGACUUCGGGUUGUAAACCUCUUUCAGCACCGACGAAGCGCAAGUGACGGUAGGUGCAGAAGAAGGACCGGCCAACUACGUGCCAGCAGCCGCCGUAA
rnacentral:rRNA from 1 species